rnacentral:snRNA from 1 species
UUAUUCCUUUCAGCAGUACACAUUCUAAAAUUGGCCGACAACAGAGAAGGUUAACAUGGCCCUGUGUAAGGAUAACAUGCAAAAGUUAGUUAACUAU